CACGUAGGGCGCAAGCGUUGUCCGGAAUUAUUGGGCGUAAAGAGCUCGUAGGCGGUCUGUUGCGUCCGCUGUGAAAACUCGGGGCUUAACCCCGAGCCUGCAGUGGAUACGGGCAGACUAGAGGUAGGUAGGGGAGAAUGGAAUUCCCGGUGUAGCGGUGAAAUGUGUUGAUAUUGGAAGGAACACCGGAGGCGAAAGCGGUGUACUGGGGCUGGUCUGACGCUGAGGCACGAAAGCCAGGGGAGCGAACGGG
rnacentral:rRNA from 1 species